UCUCCGUAGGUGAACCUGCGGAGGGAUCAUUACAGAGUUUUUGCCCGCAAGGGUAGAUCUCCCACCCUAUGUUAUUCCUUCUCUGUUGCUUUGGCGGGCCGUCCGGCCUCGGUCAGGCCACCGGCUCCGGCUGGUGCGCGCCCGCCAGAGGACCCCAAACCCUAAAUGUCAGUGUCGUCUGAGUACUAUAUAAUAGUUAAAACUUUCGACAACGGAUCUCUUGGUUCUG
rnacentral:misc_RNA from 1 species